GGGAGCAGGAGGAGAGCUUGAAGAUUAACAGAGACUCGCAGGGAGGGGGCAGGGAGGCAGUGUGUGUGCCGUGACGACGAUGAUUAUACCGCGGCAGCUGAGUGCUCUGACGUUGUACAGGUGUGAGCAGCCGGUUCUGGAUUACUGCCAUGCCCACCUGUCGCUGCACCUCAACGUGGGCAUGGAGCCCCCAACUCAGGCGCCGGGAGGUCUGAGGCCAGCCAAGUACCACCCGGGCCUAAUGCCUCCCCUCCCCUCCGAGCCUGUGCUGCCUUUCCCCCAGACCCACUCCCCCCACCAGUGAGCUGCGCACACUGCGCGGUUCUGUGUCCAAACUACUCUGUGUCCAAGCUACUGUACCAACUGCACAGGACCCGUGGACAACUCACAUGAAACACAAGGUUGUGUGGGAGGGGACUGGUUAAGAAGCGAAGGAGACAAUUAAUCUACUGCAAAGCAUCCGGGACCCAGGGUAAUGGAAAUGGAAAUAUUUCUCAGUGGAAAUAAAUGGGUGCUGCGGUAUUGAUUAGAAAAGCUUCUGACCUACCUGACCUUCAAUGUCCUCAAUUAGAAAAGGAGGCUGAGCAGCAGCAUGACUUUCCACGCUCUGCUCUGCCUCCUGAGGAGUAUUAAGCCUAAUAAUCUAAUGAUUUGUUAAUAUAAUUAAACGCGUUUCCUCCACUGCUCCCCAUCUGGACACCUCUCUGCUGCGUCAGGUAAAGUAAUCAAAUGUAAAAUUGCUUUUAACAGAGCAGGGGAACAGCAUGAUAAGCGUUUGAGUAGCAGAACAAAUGAAAGAUCAGCUGAGCUGGAAGGUUUUCUGCUGCUUUGUCUGAUCCCGCUGUCAAUCAGAGGUCUCUCCCUAACUCUGCGUCCCUGUGGCGCCACGCAAAUACAAUUUCCCAAGACGAGAGAAACAAGUCAGAAAAUAACAGACAUUAUCUGUCUAUGAAAUGUACAACCUACACAUCUUGCCGGCAGUAAGUGUAAUUAACAUAGUGACUUUUGAUUUCCUCAAUGAGUUGGGAUGUUGAUCACGUUAUAAUUAAUUGAAUCGAGCUGAGAAAUAAACAGAUGGGAAAUAAACACCAGAUCCCGGCGCACUGCGAUGCUCGGAUAUUUACUUUUCACCAUGCAUUUAAAAUCACAAUUGUAAUUAAUGUUUUUUUGUUCUUGAAAUGUGUUCUUCGGCCAAUUAUCUGAUUGUGCACUCAUAUAUCUACAUGUGUGUGCUUUUGACAAGAUGUUACAUUAUAAUAUAUGGUAAAUUAACUGUAGUAAAUGACAAGUGACUGUGUCAUUCAUCGAGAUCAGUGGUGUCAACCAACUGUCUGCUGUAUUCAAACAGCUGCGAAGGUGGUUAAGACUGAAGAGCACAGCGCUUAAGGCAACACUGAUUAAUAAUCAUGUGUGAUCAAGAGCCUGAUGGUUACUUCCACUUGCUUUUUUCUCCUCCUGUGACUGUAUGUGACCGUUAUCUGACGUAAUACAGUAUACUCCACUCUCUUUGAACCUCGUGGUCUUUUAUGUUGCUUCCAAAGGAAACCUUGUGUGCAAAACUAAACCUAAUUAAGGUCCUGGGUGUUAAUACACAGCAGCUCGUGUUCUUCACACACAAGAAGUGUGCUGCUAAGAUAAAUGUCAUAUAAUCGGAAGGUUUGUCAGCUAGGAAUUGUCUGUCUGUAAGCUUUAGUAAACAAUAUUUCUUUAUUUCCACGCCUUCUACAUUGAUUAUCAGCUGAGUCUCAGCCUUUCAGUCAUGUAGGCUAUGUAAGCUCCAUAAUAAGCUGACAUCAUGGUAUCUGGAGUAACCACCGACCCACAGACUGGGAAAGAAGUCCGUUCUUUGUGAGCUGCAUAGGUCAGAAAACAUGGGAUUCAACAAGACGUUCAGAUGUGUCCCUUCCUACGUCACAUGCAGGCUCAUUACAGUAUACCAUCUGAGUAUCUCCACCAGCGGCUUGAGAACUACCUUUGCAAAGAUGCGCCAUUUUGUUCCUAGAAGUCAAUCAUAGACAAAUGGGCUUUUUCCAGUUAGGUGCUAAAAAAAGACAGCAGAGCGUCUCAGACGGAGAGUCAAUACAGGUGAGUUCAGACAGACAUUAAACCAUGUAACAACAUGUUCUAGUAGAACUAGAACUCUACGUUCAAAUGUCAUCCGGAGACGGCGUUUUCCUCCAAUUCAUGGCUUAAUUAUCCAGCUAGCUACAGGUGAUACAAUCUGCAACUGUUGAAAAUCAAUAAUCAACGGAUAGAAAUGAUGAGCUUCUUUUGUGCACCACUGUGUCUGAAAUCCAGGUCCCAUUGAUUAAAGAUGAUGAAGACUUUCCAGUGAAUUGUUCCUGGUUUCAUAAGCGAGUGCACAGAGCUGACAGGCGCAGCAACAGUAACUAAGGGGGCAGGGCUUAGCAAGCAGUCAUUACUGUGUUGCUAAGGGACUUUGAUAAUCAACCUAAAAGCUUCUGAACAUAUGGCAUGACUGAGAUUCUCCUUAAAAAAAAGACUAUUUCUAUUUGCUUUUUAUGUUUUUUUUUAUAUAAAUGUUAUUGUCUUUGUUUUCUGGGGUGGCAGGAGGAGCGGGCAUCAUUUGUCCAUAAGUACAAUAUCCUGCCAUAGUUCAAGAUCAGUAUCAAACAUGUGUCCAUGUCCAGUCAUGCAUAAGCUAGUAUCUGAAUAUUUCAAAAGUGAUUGUAUAAACCCAGCCAUCCGGCAUCAUAACCACAGAUGAAUGACGCUUUGAUUGUAUACAACUGCACACGUGUAUGUCCGAUGAUUCCUCAAUAACAGACAUUAUGAAAAAC
ensembl:lncRNA